rnacentral:rRNA from 14 species
AAAUGUUAAUGGUAAGAGUGAAAUCUGUAUAGAAUUGGAAUAGUCCUUAUUUGAUAUUGUUUUCUUAUUAAGCUAGAUUUUCUAUUCACAAUACCUUGAUCUGUGACAGGGAUUAGAUACCCCAUUAAUUCAAGUGAUAAUUUAUGUCUUGAUGUAUUUUGGAUCUAUUUUUAACAAAGGAAGGUUAUUUACCUAAGGAGUACGCUUUCAUAAGUGAAACUUAAAUGUUCUGGUGGUGGUUUAGAACAAUAGUGGAAUAGAUGAUUUAAUUCGAUGUUAUGCGAUAAAGCUUAUCUGGUAUCUGUAAUAAUACAUAGUUUUAUGUAGAAUUCUAUUAUAGGUAGUGCAUGGCUGUUAUAGGGUAAUGUUUUGUAAUAUCUGGUUCAGUUCAGUAA